UACGGGGGGGGCAAGCGUUGUUCGGAAUUACUGGGCGUAAAGGGCUCGUAGGUGGCCAACUAAGUCAGACGUGAAAUCCCCGGGCUUAACCUGGGAAUGGCGUUUGGGACUGGGAGUCUGGAGUGCGGCAGAGGAGACUGGAAUUCCUGGUGUAGCAGUGAAAUGCGUAGAUAUCAGGAGGAACACCGAUGGCGAAGGCAGGUCUCUGGGCUGACACUGACGCUCAUGUACGAAAGCGUGGGGAGCAAACAGG
rnacentral:rRNA from 1 species